UACAGAGGGUGCGAGCGUUAAUCGGAAUUACUGGGCGUAAAGCGUGCGUAGACGGUUAUUUAAGUCGGAUGUGAAAGCCCCGGGCUCAACCUGGGAAUUGCGAUGAAGACUGCAAGGCUUGAAUCUGGCAGAGGGGGGUAGAAUUCCACGUGUAGCAGUGAAAUGCGUAGAGAUGUGGAGGAACACCGAUGGCGAAGGCAGCCCCCUGGGUCAAGAUUGACGCUCAUGCACGAAAGCGUGGGGAGCAAACAGG
rnacentral:rRNA from 1 species